rnacentral:rRNA from 1 species
UACAGAGGGUGCGAGCGUUAAUCGGAAUUACUGGGCGUAAAGCGUGCGUAGACGGUAGCGUAAGUCAGAUGUGAAAGCCCCGGGCUCAACCUGGGAAUUGCAUUUGAGACUGCUCUGCUCGGGUGCGGAAGAGGGAAGCGGAAUUUCCGGUGUAGCGGUGAAAUGCGUAGAUAUCGGAAGGAACACCGGUGGCGAAAGCGGCUUCCUGGUCCGACACCGACGUUCAGGCACGAAAGCGUGGGGAGCAAACAGG